AAAACAUCAAAAGCAUCGCUUGUUUCAAUAACACCAGUUCCUCCUAAUUUGUUGCAACAAUCUAUAGAAACGGGCAAGAAAAAGUACAGCUACUAUUUGGAACGAUUGGCAACUGACACAAGCAAUACUCCAUAAUUUAAUCUUAUGAAAAAGUAUGCAGAUGUAAUUAAUUUAGCCUUCCUAGUAAAUAAUGUGCAUAAUACA